UAACUGAAGAGUUUGAUCAUGGCUCAGAUUGAACGCUGGCGGCAGGCUUAACACAUGCAAGUCGAGCGGGGGAAGGUAGCUUGCUACCGGACCUAGCGGCGGACGGGUGAGUAAUGCUUAGGAAUCUGCCUAUUAGUGGGGGACAACAUCUCGAAAGGGAUGCUAAUACCGCAUACGUCCUACGGGAGAAAGCAGGGGAUCUUCGGACCUUGCGCUAAUAGAUGAGCCUAAGUCGGAUUAGCUAGUUGGUGGGGUAAAGGCCUACCAAGGCGACGAUCUGUAGCGGGUCUGAGAGGAUGAUCCGCCACACUGGGACUGAGACACGGCCCAGACUCCUACGGGAGGCAGCAGUGGGGAAUAUUGGACAAUGGGGGGAACCCUGAUCCAGCCAUGCCGCGUGUGUGAAGAAGGCCUUAUGGUUGUAAAGCACUUUAAGCGAGGAGGAGGCUACUCUAGUUAAUACCUAGAGAUAGUGGACGUUACUCGCAGAAUAAGCACCGGCUAACUCUGUGCCAGCAGCCGCGGUAAUACAGAGGGUGCGAGCGUUAAUCGGAUUUACUGGGCGUAAAGCGUGCGUAGGCGGCUUAUUAAGUCGGAUGUGAAAUCCCCGAGCUUAACUUGGGAAUUGCAUUCGAUACUGGUGAGCUAGAGUAUGGGAGAGGAUGGUAGAAUUCCAGGUGUAGCGGUGAAAUGCGUAGAGAUCUGGAGGAAUACCGAUGGCGAAGGCAGCCAUCUGGCCUAAUACUGACGCUGAGGUACGAAAGCAUGGGGAGCAAACAGGAUUAGAUACCCUGGUAGUCCAUGCCGUAAACGAUGUCUACUAGCCGUUGGGGCCUUUGAGGCUUUAGUGGCGCAGCUAACGCGAUAAGUAGACCGCCUGGGGAGUACGGUCGCAAGACUAAAACUCAAAUGAAUUGACGGGGGCCCGCACAAGCGGUGGAGCAUGUGGUUUAAUUCGAUGCAACGCGAAGAACCUUACCUGGCCUUGACAUACUAGAAA
rnacentral:rRNA from 1 species